GAAACCGAGUCUUAACCGGGCGUUAAGUUGCAGGGUAUAGACCCGAAACCCGGUGAUCUAGCCAUGGGCAGGUUGAAGGUUGGGUAACACUAACUGGAGGACCGAACCGACUAAUGUUGAAAAAUUAGCGGAUGACUUGUGGCUGGGGGUGAAAGGCCAAUCAAACCGGGAGAUAGCUGGUUCUCCCCGAAAGCUAUUUAGGUAGCGCCUCGUGAAUUCAUCUCCGGGGGUAGAGCACUGUUUCGGCAAGGGGGUCAUCCCGACUUACCAACCCGAUGCAAACUGCGAAUACCGGAGAAUGUUAUCACGGGAGACACACGGCGGGUGCUAACGUCCGUCGUGAAGAGGGAAACAACCCAGACCGCCAGCUAAGGUCCCAAAGUCAUGGUUAAGUGGGAAACGAUGUGGGAAGGCCCAGACAGCCAGGAUGUUGGCUUAGAAGCAGCCAUCAUUUAAAGAAAGCGUAAUAGCUCACUGGUCGAGUCGGCCUGCGCGGAAGAUGUAACGGGGCUAAACCAUGCACCGAAGCUGCGGCAGCGACACUGUGUGUUGUUGGGUAGGGGAGCGU
rnacentral:rRNA from 1 species